rnacentral:lncRNA from 1 species
GCAUAUCCUACUUCUCCUCCUGUUGUUACGUUCCCAAGUUUUUAAAUUGUGAAUUUUGAAUCUACAUGUUUUAUCUUAACUGGGUAAUUGUGUAUAUGUAGUAGCAUACCCCCCACCACCACCGUCUACAACGGCGGGUCUGUACGUGGCGGCGCCACCACCGGCAGGUUAUCCAACGAAAGACGGCGAUCAUGGUUACGCUCAAAAUGCCCCCGUAGAAACCAAGUCCAGAGGUGAUGGCUUCUGGAAAGGAUGGUAUGCAAUCUUUAUGUGUUUCACCUCACCUUAUGUUAAUUAUUCGUAUAUAUGUAUAUACACACGCACAUCUAUCAUAUGUGUAGUGACUGAUUUGGUCGGUUUAAUUUGCAGUUGUGCUGGCUUGUGUUGCUGCUGUGCCUUGGACGCCUGCUUCUGAACACACAUACGCACGGUUGAUCGUUUGAUUUUGGGGAUUCUUUUUUAUUUCCAUUAUUAUAUUACGUGUAUAAAUAAUAAUAAUAAAAACAGUUCAGAUUGUUCCUUAGUUUGAUGAUAGGAACGCCCCCGUGGCUUGAGUUAUUAUUUUUGUAUACCAUUCUGUAGCCUUUUGAUACACAUACUCUUAUUUUUGUAUACCAUUCUGUAGACUUUUGAUACACAUACUCUUGUUCUUGUACUUUGAAUUUUAUUUACUAUGUAUUUAAUUCUCUGCAGUGGCUGAUUAAUUUAUCUUUAAAUCAAUGCUUGAUUGUAGAUACAUUUUCAAUACAAAAUAAGAACGAGUUGGUUUGGGGCCAACACAAACGCAUACAUACAUGCAAUCACAUGGAAAGCACGUUCAUAACAAGAAUGAAAAUAUCAUGAUUUUAACAUAUUUUUCAAAAACAUAUUUUUGGAUUUAUCCUAUGAAUAAUCAAAAGUCUAUCACAAUCUUUUAAAUCAGCAUUAUAAACCAUCAACUUAAAAAAGAAGGAGCAACCAACAUAAUUUUUGUAACAACGUUGUUUUAGUAAAAUUUAAUUUCAUUACGAAAAGUUCACUUCGUCUGGUCAACUAUAACAAAGAUAGAAAUACAAGCUCAUUCUUUAGCAUUGAUGCCGUGUGCUUUUGAGUCAGAGGAAUGAUUUUCAAUUGAGUGCUAACUGCUUCGAGAGAAAAUAACUCGUUCUCCGCUGGUGUAAAGACUAAAGAGAUGCCCGAUUUGGUGUACUUUCCAACCUUUUGAAUCCGAACACAAAAUUCCAAACAAAACUGUCAAAGCUGACCUUUGCGAAAGAAACGAAAUGACACCUGCACCCAUCAAGUGAAAAUAGUUUAUUUGAUGCGAUUUAUAGGAUAAUUUAUUUCAUUAUUUCUACUGUACCGACUAAAUAAUCUGGUAGAUAUCACAACACUUUAAUCAUAAAUUUUUUUAAAGAGUGGUAUCAAAUAAUUAGUUAGACUACAUUUUAAUUUGUUAAAAGUCUUCUUUAAGUCCUAUUUGUUAUUGAGAUACUGUAACUUUUAAGAUACAUCUCUUAUUGGGAAAAAAAAUCUUGUAGUUAUAAAAUAAAAAUUAAUAGUAUGUAGUAAAUGUAAUUAUUAAAUAAUAAUUUUAACAAAAUUAGUAAAGAUAUUAAUAGAUUUUUCAUUAUAUAAGUGUAAAAUUAUAAGUGUAAAAUCAAAUUAAUUCAACUUCUAAUCUACAAUAACUAGUAUUUAUUAAAUGGGAAAAGGACAAACACACCCCCAACGUUUAGACAAAGGGACAAAAAUCCUCCUAACGUUUCAAAAAAGACAUUUACACCCCUAUUCACUAACGGAAACAGUAACGUUUAACUGAAAUUACCGUUAUACCCUUCUAGCAUAUAAAAAAGAUUAUUGAUUAUCCAAUUUUUUGCAUUUAACGUAGUUUAUGAACACCCAGGUUCUAAAUGGUUAAUAGAACAAGGACUGACGUUAAUUUAGGAAGUGAAAAUUUUCAUCUAUAUCCAAAUCUAAAAAAUAAUAAUAUAAAAUUAAAUAAAACACCUGUAACUUUAAGACAUACAUAUCCUCAAUGCUGGGAGUCGUAAUGAAAAGAAGAAGAAUUACAACAAAAUUGGGGACCAUAAUGGAAACUGGUAGAACCUACAAGGGCUAAUCUUAUCUUUCAAUUGAUUUUUGUGGAGCCAGAAACAAUUAAACCCGAACAGCAAAUAGCCAUAAAUGAAAGCACAAUUAAAUUGGAACUCUCCGCAGACCCACGAUUUAAUAUCUUUAGAUUGUAACGAUUCAACCCAAAAAAAUAUUCUAGUAAAAUAUUUCUUAAAAAAAUGCUUCUUCACGUCACAACGUUGAAAACAAGAACAAAAUUGUGGUCCACGUGUCAUUUCAAAGUAGGUUGCUGGCAUAAACAUCCGGCUCCAUCCCGGACAGAUGUUAUGUGAGUGGUUGGUACGCGUUUCCACUUUUUUGUUUCAGAUGCAACGACUCAUGCACUAAAAAAAAAAAAUAAAUAAAUUUACGUUUAAGUUUUAAAAAUUAAUAUCGAUUUAAAUAUGAAUCUAAUGUUAAACUCUUAUUCAGGCAUCGAUUGUACUCGGCAAAAUAAUAAUAAUAAUAAUUAAGAAGCAGAGGCCAGGCAGGCGGUUGUAGGGCUGCUGCUAUCUUAUAGUUUUAGAAGAAGGUUCUUUUCUUUCUUUAGAGUUGAUGCCGUGAGACGUUUUUUAUAUUAUUAUGAUAACUUUGGUUGCGGAUUCAAUUGAAAUAAUAAUUCUUCUUCGACGCGUACCGACCGCCCUCGCUAAACUCUCCUUCCAAGAAAUUAACAACAACCACUCCGCCAUUUUUCUUCUAUAAAUACAUAUACUUCACACACAUUUACAUAUUUACACCCACUCUCGUCGACAUCAUCAUCAUCAAUUAACAUAUCUCCAACUUCAGCUUCUUCUCCCACCUAACUUGUCAUUUUUCUUCCUUUGCCUUUGCCAGUCUUUUCUCUCUUCUAUCAACUGCAAGCAUGAGCUCCUACAAUCAGAAUCAGUCCUCAGGUAACUAAAUCAUCUGCAUAUCCUACUUCUCCUCCUGUUGUUACGUUCCCAAGUUUUUAAAUUGUGAAUUUUGAAUCUACAUGUUUUAUCUUAACUGGGUAAUUGUGUAUAUGUAGUAGCAUACCCCCCACCACCACCGUCUACAACGGCGGGUCUGUACGUGGCGGCGCCACCACCGGCAGGUUAUCCAACGAAAGACGGCGAUCAUGGUUACGCUCAAAAUGCCCCCGUAGAAACCAAGUCCAGAGGUGAUGGCUUCUGGAAAGGAUGGUAUGCAAUCUUUAUGUGUUUCACCUCACCUUAUGUUAAUUAUUCGUAUAUAUGUAUAUACACACGCACAUCUAUCAUAUGUGUAGUGACUGAUUUGGUCGGUUUAAUUUGCAGUUGUGCUGGCUUGUGUUGCUGCUGUGCCUUGGACGCCUGCUUCUGAACACACAUACGCACGGUUGAUCGUUUGAUUUUGGGGAUUCUUUUUUAUUUCCAUUAUUAUAUUACGUGUAUAAAUAAUAAUAAUAAAAACAGUUCAGAUUGUUCCUUAGUUUGAUGAUAGGAACGCCCCCGUGGCUUGAGUUAUUAUUUUUGUAUACCAUUCUGUAGCCUUUUGAUACACAUACUCUUAUUUUUGUAUACCAUUCUGUAGACUUUUGAUACACAUACU